GAUACCACCUCAUAGCAAUGUCACAAUAACUUCUCUGUCAAGCAGGUAUAGGCGACGGAAGAGAUCUAAGGCCUAGAUAUCAGGACAAGAUGGUGACACGUGUGUCAGGUACGCACUCUUUUUCCAACAAACUAACCUUGAUCGCCAUCUCUGCUCCGUGGGUGCCGCUGGGUUCGGGUUGCCUGUCCAAGUUCCUGAGGCCUGUCUCGCGGGGGAGUCUAUUGAUUCGCCGGGACUACACCUGAGUGAAGCCGCCAUUGCACCGGCAGAUCGACGGCGAGACCAGCAAUGUGCCACGGUGGGUAUUCCAGCAGAGACUACGUCUAACAGCUGCAUCGCAGAAUCACCAAAUUCUAGAUCUAACUGUUCUCCGUUCUCAAAAAAUAAAGGUGACAAACACUUCAGUUUAAGAGGGAGUUACUCCUAUUUAAACUCUGAAUAAUCAAUAAAUCCAUUCACACCGACUAUGGAACUAUCAACAAACUCAUCCAAGCCGUCACCGGACCAAACGGCGUGCACUGUAAAAAAGAAGGCCGUAAGACUUGCAAUAUCAACACCAAAUCAAACAAUAUGCACUGUACAGUCAAAAAUUCUAAAUGUCGCAAUUGCUAAAAACAGGUGUGGGAAACCAGCUGAUAUGUGCAUGCGGUCAUGUGACCGGUUGCCAAUCAGGAAGUCAUAAAAAGCUCACCAGGUGUAGUCAUUAGUCCCCUUGCAUCUCACUGAGCGCACUGCGAUUGUGUGGAUUCUCCAGGUUGAUAGCCAGGCACAAGUUCCCGUCCUUCACAGAGUGAACUGGGGCAAACGGACGUUUACCACUGACAAAUGAGCUGCUGUGGCUGUAGAGCUCCGGAAAAUACUCCUCCUCCCGCAUUAACUGUGCUAUAGGAGUUUGUGUCCUUGCAAACUUGAUCCUGUACAAGGCUGGGUCCGUGUCGACACACUGCCUCCUCGUGGUGAGACUACACUGGGUGACACUCUGUUACGGUGUGUAUGUAGCCUCGACACUGUAGAUUUUGUAGUGACUUGCAUGAUAUUUUGUAGUGACUUGCAUGAUAUUUUGUAGUGAUUUGCAUGAUACUUUGUAGUGAAUCGUGUAGAAAUAAGUGUGUAGUGCAUGUCCUUGUCGGUGCUGGGCCUUCUGUCUCCUCUUUCUGUCUCCCGCAGUCGUCUCCCGGAGUGGUGUGCGCGUGCCGACCCGACCUUCCUACUUUGAGGAGAGUAAGACCACAUGUAUCUGCCAUCUAAUUUAUUGUUUUAUUAUUCUGUCAAAUUGCCAUUUUAAUUGGAAAUCUUUUAAACUCUUUGUAAUAAAA